AUUUAUUAGUUUUUAAUUACAGGCGUGAUGUGUUUAAUUAUAUAUGUUGAGCUUUUGAGAUAAGGUUUUUAAUAGUAUAUACGUGUAAAUGUUGCAUGAGAAAAAGAAUAAUGGUGGUCUUGUUUUUCAUGCUGUGGAUGAUUCUAUGCUUGUUUGCUUUACCGUUGGGCUUGUGUGAAUGUUCCCUUUCUAUGUCUCAUUUUGCUUUGUAUGUUCUAUUUUUACCCCACGAUUUUAAAAAAUUAAGGUUAUGAAUUUAAAAUGCGAAUAUGUAGUCUUAUUAAAAAAAUAAAAAUAAGUAAGCCACAAAAUACAAUUACAUACGUUAAUUAAAGUCAUUUAUAUGAAACGACACAGCUACAUUUGCAGCUAGACAUGCAUUUCUUGCAGUCCGAAAGUGUUAACAUACUACCAGUGCAAUCACACUUCUUACUACAUUUGAAUCUUGUGGCGCCGCUCCACAAGCACCGCGCCAUGCACCGCAGAAUGGGCGUGCACGAUGGGCACCCGUACUUCAUCUGAUGAGCAAUGCAGUUUUCGCAUCCACCGCCGUCCGCCAAUGACUGUUGGCCGCAACCAACGGAUGGAGAAAUCAUGGUUAACCACAAAAUAAUCAGAAGCAUUGUUGAUAGUGUAUACAGUUUCUUCAUCUUUUCCGUUUCUUGAAACUAAACGAAGUAGAUUAGUCUCGUUGCUAUAUGCACUAAAGCUAUAUAUAUAUAUAUAUAUAUAUAUAUAUAUAUAACUUAAUUAUGUGUUGGUACGACACAGCUACAUUUGCAGCUAGACAUGCAUUUCUUGCAGUCCGAAAGUGUUAACAUACUACCAGUGCAAUCACACUUCUUACUACAUUUGAAUCUUGUGGCGCCGCUCCACAAGCACCGCGCCAUGCACCGCAGAAUGGGCGUGCACGAUGGGCACCCGUACUUCAUCUGAUGAGCAAUGCAGUUUUCGCAUCCACCGCCGUCCGCCAAUGACUGUUGGCCGCAACCAACGGAUGGAGAAAUCAUGGUUAACCACAAAAUAAUCAGAAGCAUUGUUGAUAGUGUAUACAGUUUCUUCAUCUUUUCCGUUUCUUGAAACUAAACGAAGUAGAUUAGUCUCGUUGCUAUAUGC
rnacentral:lncRNA from 1 species